UUUUUAUUUUGAAAUACUUGGCUGACUUACAAAAGACUUCCCCUCACACUUGACAUGAUUGACAAAAGCUGUUUGCAGUGUUUCCUGCACGAUGAACACCAGGAACCUGGGAAGUGAGAAGAACCCUGGGAUGAAGUCAUCCUGCUGGAAUGACCUGGCUUUCAGGCUGACUGCCACCCGCCCCAUGGGGAACCUAUCUCCACUGCUAUGGCCAGCUAUUUUUUUCGAGCCAGGCUCUCGCUCUGUUGCCCAGGCUGGAGUGCAGUGGUGCAAUCACUGCACUGAUCCUCCCACCUCAGCCUACAAGUAGCUGGGACUACAGGCGUGCACCACCACGCCUAGCUAAUUUCUAAAAUUUUUUUGUAGAGACGGUCUCUACAAUCGCUUGAGCCCAGGCUGGUCUUAAACUCCUGGACCCAAGCGAUCCUCCUGUCUC
rnacentral:lncRNA from 1 species